UUGGAAAGUCCGAUACGAAUUAAGAUAAUAGUUAACUAUUCUAUAUAAAUAGAAGAAUCUUGAAAAGAAAUUAAUCUAAUAAAUUAGGCGAACAAAAAAUUCUUAUCUUCGUUAUUUUAUAGAUAAUAAAUAAUAUGACAAAAUUCGGCUUAU
rnacentral:RNase_P_RNA from 1 species